rnacentral:rRNA from 1 species
GACGAACGCUGGCGGCGUGCUUAACACAUGCAAGUCGAACGGUGAAGCGCCUUCCUUUUUGGUGGGUGUGGAUGAGUGGCGAACGGGUGAGCAACACGUGAGUAACCUUCUCCCUUCUUCUGGACAACCGCAAGAAAGUGUGGCUAAUACGGGAUAUUUUGGGUCUGUCGCAUGAUGGGUCUGGGAAAGAUAUUGUGUCGGUUGGGGAUGGGCUCGCGGCCUAUCAGCUUGUUGGUGGGGUGAUGGCCUACCAAGGCGGUGACGUGUAGCCGCCCUGGGAGGGUGGACGGUAACAGGGGGGCGGCACGGUCGACACGACUACGGGAGGCGGCAGCAGGGAGGAAUACGGCAUGAGGGGGGGCUUGUCGGUGCAGCGCCGCCUGGGUGGUGAUGGUGGCCGGCGGGUUAUGAACCGCUUUUGCCGGUGAAGAAGUCUGGACUUGUCUGUGGGUGGCUUGACGGUACCUGAUUAGGAAGCCCCGGCUAACUACGUG